GAGAGAGCCUGGAUUGGGGUGUUUGACCCUGCCCUGCAUCAGGAGUUCUGGGAAGGGGUGGAUUUUGACUAGAGGAGGACAGGAUGACAUUGACAGAAGAUCUGGGAACCAAAACUGUCUGGACGCAUAGGAUUUUCUGAAAGGCUGAAGCAGGAGAGGACACUGGAUUCCAAUGCAGACCAUGAGAUGAUAAGAUGGCAAGGUUCAUUUCCUGUGCAGCUUUGAAAGAUGUGCACGGUUAUGUUCAAGUGGGCAUCAAAGGGAAAGAGCUUGAAAGGAAAAAAGGAUGAGGAGAGAGAGAGAGAGAACGAGCAAGACUCAGUCACUCACUAGGGAUAAAGGGUCAGUAAAAGCUCCUAAAAGUUUAUCCUGGCUGCUUCCUCAGAACCCCUGCUGGAAAGAGCUCUCUUGCAUCCAAUAAGUUCCACGUCGCCAGAAGGCAACAUCGUGAUCUUCAUGCACCCAGUGCUCACUACAAGACAGCAGGAAGAUGGCUGAGCUAACUCUGAGCCUUUCAGAAUCCUGAGUUCUGACUGGUUAUUUCUGUCAUGUCUUCCUCCCAGAAAUGGGGCCUGAAUGGGA